rnacentral:rRNA from 1 species
AUUGAACGCUGGCGGCAGGCCUAACACAUGCAAGUCGAGCGAGCGGCGGACGGGUGAGUAAUGCCUGGGAAUUGCCCAGUCGAGGGGGAUAACAGUUGGAAACGACUGCUAAUAACGCAUACGAUUGGAUUGCACCGGUGGGAUUAGCUAGUGUGUGAGGUAAGUGCUCACACAGGCGACGAUCCCUAGCUGGUCUGAGAGGAUGAUUAGUCACACGGGAACUGAGACACGGUCCAGACUCCUACGGGAGGCAGCAGUGGGGAAUAUUGCACAAUGGGGGAACCCCUGAUGCAGCCAUGCCGCGUGUGUUAAGAAGGCCUUCGGGUUGUAAAGCACUUUCAGCGAGGAGGCGUUACUCGCAGAAGAAGCACCGGCUAACUCCGUGCCAGCAGCCGCGGUAAUUC